CGGGGACGCGGGGAACGCCCAAGUUGCCGGAGACCUUGACGGCUGCUGACCUUCCGCCAAGCCCCGCCUCUGUUCUCCAGGGAUGAAAGUGCUUUGUAAAUAGGACACCUGCAUCCACCCAGUUUACCCCAGGAGGAAGUCUUUAGCAAUUCAUGACUGGAUUCCCCCUAUCCAACCAAAAGCAGUUUUGCAGCCACAGCACAGGUGCCUCCGGAGGGGAAGAUGAAGAGGAGAGAACCUCUCUGCUUACCCCCAUCUUCACUGAAUUGCCUGAGGCCUUGGUAAUCUUAGAAAUCAUUUUAUUAAAUACCUGAUGGCUUGCACCCUAGCAGUCUCACUUUGAGAGCCCACAGGCAUCACUGCCUCCUGAACUGGGUAACUGAUUUGACCUAUUGGCAGAAGGAAGAAACUGCUUCAGUGAGAUAAAGCAAUCUGUCAACUCAACUUCUGGGCUGUGACUGGAAACAAUCCAGCCCCUAAAGAUCAAGAAUAAAUUUUGACCUCCCCUAAAAGAAUGUAAUAGAGGACCUUUUUCAGGAAUGGAGAUAUCACCAUAGAUAACUAGAGCAUGAACUAGGUGUGGUAGAUAGGAAGGAACCUGCAAAAUCCGUUAAAUUCCAUUCGGUAUCCCAUUGUCUCUGCCUGGCUCAGCAAACAUUUUUUAACCAAAGUUUGCUUUUUAUCUCCAUGUGAAUUCCCUUCCUCCCCUUUGAAGUCCCAAGCCACUAUCCCCAACAUUCCCUUUCGUCCUUAGCUAAAGGUGUAUUUAAGGUGAGGUUUUUGGCCAUUGUGGGGAGUUACUCAGUUCUUCUGGGUCUCUCCUAUGUAUGCAUGUUAUUACAUUUUGUUUGGUUUUUUCAUGUUAAAAAAAAAAAAAAAC